CACAUGGUUGCGUGUACCGAAUGAAGCUUUGGACGUCAUUGAUCACGUGUUUAUGGCAGAAACUAAUCAAGCCUCGGCACACUGUUUCUAGUGCACUCUGGUGUUUUUCUGGACACACGCUCCUGAGCUUCAGUAUCAAGGGUAACACCACUCCUUUUGAGAUGUCUGUAUAGUACAUGUUCAGGGCCCAUUUAAAUUCUGCAUUGCUUCCAGUCAAAACUACGCUAUAUUGUGUGUGUGUGUGUCUCUGUGUGUCCAAGCGAGUGUUGAGUGUGUGCUCAUGUUGUGUGUUUGCAGGCUAAUUUGGGUUGGAAGCCACUUGUGGUCCAGUCUGGUCUGAUGUGCUCCUGUCUCCUUAGAUGGGGGGCGCUGUUUCUAAAACGAAUCUCUCAGAGGAGCCAGAGACCAAAGGAGGAACCCUCAGCAGUGAGAGGAAGAGGGUCCAGGUAGAAAGAGCAGGGUCACCUGUACCCAGCUGGCUGUCUCUGAAGAGUGAUCGUUCAAUGGAACUUCCAUACAAUUUCAGAGGAAAGGUCACAGGUGAUCAAAGGGUCCAGGUAGAAAGAGCAGGGUCACAUGUACCCAGCUGUGUGUCUCUGAAGAGUGAUCGUUCAAUGGAACUUCCAUACAAUUUCAGAGGAAAGGUCACAGGUGAUCACAGGUAAUUAAAUAGGCUUAAAUUGACACUACUAUUUAACCCCUUAACCCCAAGCAUUUAAAAAGGCAAUUUCCACCUGGUUUGGAGUGCUCUUAAAGGUCCAGGAAACUAGUCUGUGGUUAUAUUCCCCAGAAGUGACGACAGAUUUUCUUCUUAAUACUUCUUUCACGUUUUUAACAGAAUUAGAACCAUUGAAUUGUAAUAGACACGGUUAGAUUAUUGCGACCUGUUUAGCAGACAUGGGCAGGUUGGGUGUGUAUCCUGCGCUCAUUAACAUUCAUGUCAGGAUGCGUGGGGGGUUUGGACCCAAACGCAGAGGGUGGAAAAAUACAAAACUCCAAAUGAAAGAACAAAAAGACUUUACUUGAAACAAGGAAACAAAAAGGAACAAAAAGCCUCGCAGGGCAACCUUCAACAAACCAAGGAAAACUUAGAAACAGCACAGGAACAAAGGAAAUGCAGAAAAUCCAAAAACACAAGGGAACCAGAACAUGGGCUGGAACACAUGGAGCAGGUACUUGGGUAGGGGCUUACGCACAACACAACCGGACAUAACCACAAGGAUCCAGCACCUGAGUCAAGGAAGAGGGAAACUUAAAUAGAACAGACACUGACGAGACACAGGAGGGCACCAUGAACAAUCAGGCCACAGAGAGGGAAGGGAAAACGAGACAACCAAGAACCAAUAAUAGGACAAUUGGAAACAAUCAUACAAUUACACAGGGGGAGCAGGACACAAAACCGAAGUGCCGCCAUCUGGCGGCACCAACAGGGAAAACGCAGACAGGAACACAGGACCAUGACAGUACCCCCCCCCCCCCCCCAAGGGACGGCUCCUGACUUCCCAGGAGGCCGAACUGGGGAGGGAGUGAACAGAGGGUGGGAGCUGGGGACAGGACUCGACAGGAACAGGAACUCAGGGCUGGACUGGACAGGAGCGGAACUCAGGGCUGGACAGGACUCAGGAACUGGACUCGGGACUGGAACAGGAACAGGACUCGGGACUGGACAGGACAGGACAAGACUCAGGGCUGGACUGGACAGGACAGGACAAGACUCAGGGCUGGACUGGACAGGACAGGACAAGACUCAGGGCUGGACAGGGCUGGACAGGGCAGGACUGGAACUCAGGGCUGGACUGGAAUGGACAGGAACUCGGGGCUGGACAGGAACUCGGGGCCAGGACUCGGGAACUGGAGUGCCUGUGGGCUCCAGAAUUAAAACCCAUUUCUUGUAGGUCUCUUCAUUUUUGGCAAAAGAAAAGAAUGUAUUGCUUUCUCCACAUCCAGAGAAGGGG